rnacentral:rRNA from 1 species
AUGACGUCAAAUCAUCAUGCCCCCUUAUGACCUGGGCUACACACGUGCUACAAUGGUUGGUACAACGAGUUGCGAGUCGGUGACGGCGAGCUAAUCUACUUAAAGCCAAUCUCAGUUCGGAUUGUAGGCUGCAACUCGCCUACAUGAAGUCGGAAUCGCUAGUAAUCGCGGAUCCGCACGCCGCGGUGAAUACGUUCCCGGGCCUU